CCUACGGGAGGCAGCAGUGAGGAAUAUUGGUCAAUGGGCGGAAGCCUGAACCAGCCAAGCCGCGUGAGGGAUGAAGGCCCUAUGGGUCGUAAACCGCUUUUGUCCGGGGAUAACACCCUGCACGUGUCGAGGUCUGCGGUUACCGUUCGAAAACGGGCCGGCUAAUUCCGUGCCAGCAGCCGCGGUAAUACGGAAGGCCCGAGCGUUAUCCGGAUUCAUUGGGCUUAAGGGGUGCGUAGGCGGGCCGUCAAGUCAGCGGUAAAAUCGCGGGGCUCAACCGCGCCCCGCAGUUGAAACUGGGCGACUUGAGUUCGCAACAGGCAGGCGGAAGUCGUGGUGUAGCGGUGAAAUGCAUAGAUAUCACGAGGAACCCCGAUUGCGAAGGCAGCCUGCCGGGGUGCGACUGACGCUGAGGCACGAAGGUGCGGGGAUCAAACAGGAUUAGAUACCCUUGUAGUC
rnacentral:rRNA from 1 species